GUGCUCGCUUUGACAGCACAUAUAUUAAAGUUGGAAUGAUACAGGAAAAAUUGGCAUGGUGCAAGGAUAACAGGCAAAUUCAUGAAGCAUUCCAUAUUUUA
rnacentral:snRNA from 2 species